GUAGAAAACCGGAAGGUUUUUCUACA
rnacentral:rRNA from 1 species